rnacentral:tRNA from 1 species
GACCGCAUAGCUCAGCUGGAAGAGCAUUGGGCUAGUAUUCCAAAGGUCGUAGGUUCGAAUCCCACCGUGGCCG